UCGGGCAAGCGGAUGUUGUCUUAGCCAGGAAUCGGAAGUCCCGCCUCCGAAGGGGGAGGAGCAGAAGCUAGACAGCCAAUGCCGGGGGAGGAAUUCUAGGGCCGGCGCCUCCGAGAAUCCCGCGCGGGGCUGGUAAACGGAAGCAGCGCGGAGGCGGGGCUCAUGCCGGAAGUGAUCGUUCCCUGGUGGUUCCCGCAGGCUCCCUAAGAGCUGCUGUCCCUGUGUGCUUUCCAAGGCAGGUCUCAUUGUGUCACCAUCCUGAUGAAAGCAUUCUAGGGCACCCCAUGACCUGCAAGAAGAAACCCAAAUUCCUUCGCAUUCUCCAUCUUGUGCCAGUUUCCCUUGCUCAGCCGCACUCCAGCCCAGUGGAUAACACAGGGGUUCCUGAAAUCACCACAUGAGCAAGCCUUUGCCCAGAAAGUCUCUCUGCCUGGUGUGCUUCUUCUCUUCCGGCCUUCAGAUGAACUGCCAUUCCUUUCUCAAGACCCUGCUCAUCGGCUUCUUCCUCUGUCAAGGUACAUGCAAGUUUUGGAGGCUGGGAGGUUCAAUAUCAAGGUGCCAGCAGAUUCAGGGUACCUGCUGAAGGCUCACUUCCUGUCACAGGCAGCCAUCUUCUCAUUGUGUCUUCACCUUUUGAAGACUCUCAGUUUCCAAGACAGAAGGCAACUGUUGGCCCCAGAGAAGAGGAAAUCAUGAGCCAACCCCUGAGGUGCUGGUGACAUAAGUCAUUGUCAUCACAGUCAGUCCUCCGUAGCCGCGGGAUCUGCAUCACACAUUCAACCACCGGCAGAUCAGAAGUAUUCUAGGAAGAGCUGCCUCUGCCCCGAACACGUGCAGGCUUGCUUCCCGUCAUCAUUUCCUGAACAAGAUGUUGUAACAAUAGCAUCUGGAUUGCGUUAGAUCAGUCACAUAGGAAAGUGUGGAUCACGAGUUGCACACUGGAGGCCCAUAGCCAUAUCUGGCCUAUGAGCUAUCUGGCAGCUCUGGGUUCACAGUCCUGCUUGCUGACAACACACCACAGCUGGAAGCAACUUAAGCAGAAGUGGCUUCUGAUAACGAGGGGCCGUCCCCACGGUAGAGUUACAGACAAUGAGAGAGAGAGAGAAAGGUCUUCCUUCCGUUGGUUCACUCCGCAAAUGGCCACCACAGCUGGAGCUACGCCGAUCCAAAGCCAGGAGCCAGGUGCUUCCUCCUGGUCUCCCACACGGGUGCAGGAGCCUGAGAACUUGGGCCAUCCUCUACUGUCUUCCUGGGCCACAGCAGAGAGCUGGACUGGAAGAGGAGCAACAGGGACUGGAACCCAGUGCCCAUAUGGGAUGCUGGCCCCGCAGGCGGAGGAUUAACCUAGUGAGCCACCACGUCGGCCCCAUCAAAUGACUUUUCAAUAUCUAUUGAUAUUAUGAUUUUUGUCUAAAUGUUAAGCAUUUUUUUCUAAUGUUGAACCAUGUAUAUAUUUUUAUAUAAAUCCUAACAAUACCAAAUGAUAUUCUUCUUAAUCUAAUUUGCCUUUCAAAUAACAGCUACAAAACUUGCAUCCAUUUUCAUAAAUGAUUUAAGUUUCCUCUCUCCUUUAGUUUUUGUCCCUUUUUUUCUUAAGAUGUACUUAAACUAAAAUUCUUAUUGCUGCUCAAUGUGUUAACUGUUAUAUUCUUUAGUUCUUUAAAAAGUUUGUUGUAAUUUAUAUAUUUUGAUGGUUAAUUUCAUGCAUCUGGUGCUGGCACUGUGUUGGAGCAGGUUAAGCCACCACUUGUGAUGCUGGCAUACCCUAUUGGAGGGCCAGUUUGAGUCCUGGCUGCUCUGCUUCCAGUCCAGCUUCCUGCUAAUGCACCUGGGAGGUAGUAGAAUAUGGCCCAGACACUUGGGUCCCUGACACUCAUGUCAGACAUCAGCAAGGAAUUCCUGUCUCCUGGUUUAGGCCUGGCUCAACCCUGGAUAUUGUGGGCAUUUGGGGAGUGAACCAGCAGUUGGAAGAUCUCUCUGUUACCCUAUCUUUAAAAUAAAUAAAUUACUAAUUGUGUCUGUGUGUACGUGUGUGUGUGUGUGUGUGUGUGUGUAUGAAUCAACCUGAAUGGGCUAAAUUGGCUUAGCCCAGGUGUCUGGCAACACAUUAUUUCCAAGCAAGUCUGUGAGGGUGUUUCUAGAGGCAAUUAGAACUUCAUCAGUGGACUGAGUAAAGUUCUCCUGGCAAUGUGGGAAGUCACUAUCCAAUCUACUGAGGGUCCUAAUAGGACAAAAAGGUGGAGAAAGGGUGGCCUUGCAUCUCCUCUAUGUCUGGGGCACUCAUCUUCUCCUGCCCUUGGUCCUCAGCUCUUGCUUCGCUGGCAUGUGAAGUGAGUCAGGGAUUAUGGCCCGGCUACCCUGCUUCUCAGGCCUUUGGGCUAAGACUGGAACCACACCACUGGCCUCCUUGGACCCUCAGCCUGCAGAAGCUCUGUGAUGCUGUAAGCCAAUCCCUCUAAUAAACCUCUUCCUGUAGAUCUCUCUAUACGCUAUUGGCUCCAUGUCUCUGGAGAACCAUGACUAAUACACACUAUUUAUUUUAUAUUUGAACUAUAAAAUAGUUUUAUGUGAAACAUACACACACACAAUGUGUAACAUGCAUUUGUACAGUUUCAAGGAUAAUAAUAAAACCAACACCCACAAAGUCACCACCCAGAUUAAGACAUAGAAAAUCACCAGUAACUUGGAGCUGUUUCCAAAUGCAUCCCUCUCCUUCAUCUCCAAGAGAAACCACCAUCCUGAACUUUGUGUUAAUAAGCUCUUGCUUUUUGCUUAUAGCAUUUCCUCAUGGCUGUGUAUCCUUGAAUGGCUUGCUUUUGAUCUUUAGGUAUGCACGGAGAAUCACACAUGUCUGUAUUUUUGUGAUACUUCUUUUGCCUGUGGUUAUGAGUGUUAUUCACCCAGGUUGACACUGGUAGCUGGGGUACACUCGCUUUCAUGGUUGUAUCGUUUCCCAUUACACAAAUUUAUCAUCUGUUCUGUUAUUGAGUGGCACUUUUGCAUUUAAGGUUGCAAAGGAGAAAUCUGCUUUUCCUCAGUGCAAAUAGCCUGUUUUAUUUUGUUUUCCACCUGGAUAGUUAUGGGCCUUUUAUCCUUAUCUUUGACAUUCAAUGUUUGCUAGAACAAAUCCGGAUGGAUCAGAUUUGAUUAAAUUUGCCUCCUAGCGGCCCCUUUAUUUCUGUACCUGGUCAUUUUUCUCCACGUUCUAAUCCUUAGCAGGGAAGGGCUGUGGCGGGCCAGCCGAGGAACGGGUGGGUGUUGUCACAGAGACCCGGUCCCCGUGGAAGUCGUUCUGUCUCUGCACGGGAAGCAAACUUACGUUUUCUUGACCUUACCCCCCUUAGAAGUCUGGCACAUGAGGGCUGAGAAGAGGGGUGACCCCUCUGAGUAUCUGGCCUCACCCUCAGCUGAAGCCCGCAGCGGCAGCAGCACCCUUCCGUCCUCAGCAGUAGCUCUGUGCCACCAACAAGCCUGGAGCAGACACGGCCUGUCCCCUUCUCAUAGCAGUGCUGGUGUCUGAGUUUGGCCCCGCCCUUCCCAUGGUGACAGACAGUCUUACUUGGCUCUGGUCCCUGUCACACUGAGGUUGGAGUUGUUUGUCCUCUUCUGUUCCGUGGCUCAUUGCAGCCGGGGGACCUCGGGGAGCAUGUGUGAAACGCAUCAGCUCAGGUCAUCAUUGUGGACUGGAAAUGCUGCCUCUUUGACCCGUGGUGACUCUCAGAUUGCAAAGCUGGCCUUUUGUGCAUUAGUGAUGUGUCCCAGAGCCGGGUGAGGAGAGCAGAGGUGGACAGAGUUGAGAGGCAGCUGCUAUUUUCCAGUCCCUAGCUUGAGAAAAUCCCCGGCUAUUCAGCAGGUUACAAGAGAGACUGCAAGAGUGCCACCUGGGAUUGAUAGUCACCUGGGGACAGGCAUUUGUUUCUAAUGUCAAGUAAGACAGCCUUUCCCUCUUAGCCUUUGGACACCAGAAAGCAAGGCCGGCCAUGUAAAGGGGGAAAUAAGUUGAAUCGGAGGUUGGACAGUGUCCUCAAUACCCUUCCCUUCCGGAAAUUUCUUUUGAUGUUAAGGAGCGUCUGUCUCUCUAGCUCUGGAGUCCUGAGCCCUGUGCCUACGUGUUCAAUAUCACCCUGAGCUUUUCAUCAGUGUUUGAAGGAUGGGGCUGUCUUUUGAUGGCACGCAUACUUUUUUAUUGUCUCGAGGGCCUAACGAAUCAGGGCUGCCGUCCCUUUAACAAGAUCUGUGGUUAAUUCCCCUCUCGGGGUGCGAAGCGCCCUAAAUACUCAGCAUGCAGGGAAGAUGCCCCCCCCCUUUCUCCUCUGAGAAACAAGUGGGAUUAGCAAAUUGUGACUUUGCUUAUUGUUCUUAAAUAAAUUGUAUUAAAAUGUACAGGCACCUUUCCAAAAGAAGAUAAAUUAUGCAUAUUCCAAGAAGGGAAGCAAAGACAGUGAUUUUGAAAUCCCUCUGAGACGGGUCUUUUUGUUCUUCGCUGGCUGCACAAUGCAUCUCUCCAGGCAGACCUGUCUUCUCGGUGAGUCUCGGUGUCAGUGAGUUCUGAUCAGGAAUUUCGAGCUCAUCGUCCCCAUUACUGGGAGAAAGCCAAGGAUCAGCACUUUCCCUUUGAGAGUUUGCUGGUUGUGCCUUUGGGGCCUGGUUGUGGCCGGCGUGUCUUCUGCCUUGCUUGGGACAGGGUACGGCAGGAAAGGUGGUCUCAGAUUCCUCACUCACUUGAAAACUGUAUCUUCAGCCAAGAUGGAGAAAGUGCACAAAUUACAGUCAAGCGUUUCUUGGACUUUGCUGUUUAGAGGAAAAAGGGGACAGCAAAAAAACUCUUCGGCUCUUUUGAGCCUGGUGGAAUCUUGUCACACUCAUCCCUUUGCUCCCAACGCCACCCAUGGGUGCCAGCCUGAGGAGGAUGUGUCUGAUCGGAUAAUGUCCAACCGACGUUCUUUGUCAAACCUUCUGAUCACAGUGAGACGCAGAUGAGUCAAGAGAACUUGACUUCCACGUCCUCUUCCUCGUUGCCUGCACGCCUAGGCCUGGAUCAGACACUGCCCAUGCCACGCUGGCUGUGUGCACACGGCAGCAUUGUUCAGCCGUCCCUGAGGCAAAGCCCUGAGGACUGCCGGGGCCUGUGGGGCAGGGGAGAGCUGGUGU